rnacentral:lncRNA from 1 species
CAUAUUUUACACAAUGUGUUAUAUGUCCAGCCGAAAUUGUGGAAGCAUGCUAGAAGCAAACAAUGCAGCUGUUUCUUUGUUAUGCUCUCUGUUGAAAAAAGUAAGUUAGACAUGAUGCUAUGUUCUUGAGCUAAAGUAGGCAGACAGUUAUUCCAUAACAUUUAACCCCAUUUAUUUUCCUCCCCAACUCACUGUCUCCCCUGGGCAGUAAGUUAAAAACAUGAUAUCUUUCUCCCCAAAUUGGAAUGUUUAUGGUAGCCAUAUUUAAUAAAUAAAACAUAUUUCUGAAGUCUUAUCAGGCAUACUUACUAUGAGAGCUUAUAAUCUGUUGGAAUGCUGUUGCAAAAAAAUAGAUCCAAUGACAUGAAGCCUUAUAACCUGUUGAAGUAUUUCUCAAUGCAAUAUGUUUUAACAACUUCAGAAAGAUGAGCAUGUCUCAUUUUAAUAUUUGGCUAAAUUUUAGGAAGUUGAAGCAGAACAUUGCCAUGAAAGAAGAAAAAGGAAAGGAAAAAGUGAACCAGGUCCAGACGUGUGCUUUGUAGACCUGUCAUGUUGGACUCUAUGAUGAAAAUCUCUAGUUUCACUUAGAAGGGGAAAACUAGAUCUUCUGUUUUUUUCUAAUUUUACAAAAUGAACUCUCUUCUUCUGAAUACACAGCAUUAGCCAAGAUAUCCACAGAUGUAUCCAAUAAAAAAUGGCUUGGCAACUUCUAGGAGAACAAAGUAAGUUUCUCUGUCUAAAUCUCUGCUUUUAUUUCCUUAAUACAUUUCUAUUAACUUACUGUGUAUGCCACAUGAAUCAUAGUUACUAAACCGAGACAAGAGAACUGUAAACUGGCUCCAAUUCAAGUUCAGUUUUGCAAUUGGACCUCGCAAGAGACCAAUCUGGUAAAAUUAAAUGAAUGGCCUGUUUUCUUUAACUUGCUACCUGCUGAACCCAGUGGCUUAAAUUUCAAGCAUUGAAAGUGCAAGCAGAAACUGGUAUUGAUGGAGAUCCUUAGUGUCAUUCUUGGAAGACUUACCAUAAUAUAGAUAUUUACUUUAGUGAGAAAAAUAAGAAACAUUUUGAAGUUAUUUUGAUUUAGGGAUUUCCCCCCCAUAGUUACUCGGUUAUAAUUAGGUAAUUUUUUUAUGUUUAUUUUUGUCUUUUCUUCUCAUAGCUUUCCUUGGUUACAAGAAAUUUCAAGUAUAUGUGAUGGAGAUAGAGAUAGAAUAAAAAUAGAAUUUAGAUAGGAUUUUGAAAACGAGAUUUGUUUGGCCAACGUAAAGGAACUUGCUUUGAUACCAAAUUGACAAUGAAACAUAAAAAUUUGACAACAAACAAGAAAAAGAACAAGAAAAGAAAGAGAUCAAAGAAGGGAAGAAAUUAGGACAAAGAGGAAAUCAAUAUUGAAUACAAAUAUUAUUAAAAUUUCUCCCCAAAUUAUUUGUUUCUUCUCCCUUGUCUCCUAUUCUUCCUGUCUCCUUCUCCUCUUUGUUCCCUACAUUCUUGUUUCAUGCAUACUGUGCUGGAUCAGCUCCUAUUUCUUUGAAUUCUAGCUUUCAUUAUGAGUUUGCAGAGCCUACCUACCGGUGGGUUACUCUAGCGAUAAAGAAUAUGUUAGUGUAUAUAUAAAUUAGUUAUUUAUACAUUCUUUGCUGUAAUGUAGCUCGUCAUCUUUAAGUGGUGUUGAGUCAAAAUACUAGAGAAUAGAAUUGUCCCACAAAUUGUUUCUACUUCAAAUGGUCUCUAUACUAGCACAAUUUUUUGAGUUCAUGUAAGAAUUUUAUAGACGCAAUUAUGCUCAAAUAUGAGCACAGCUCAUGUACAGCACACUAUAAAGUUUCACAUUGUACCAUAAUCUGUUAACACCUUAAGCACAACACAAACUUAUUUUAGCUACUCUAUCUAUAGAAAAUGUUGGUGGAAAUAAUGAAGGCUAAUACAUCCAACCAAGCUGGCCAGAUGUAGUUUUCGAGUGACAAAAUAUGUGCGAUAACUUUGAAUAGACAAAUAUUGUCUGGAUGAAACUUUUGAGUAUUUACAGUGAAAUUAUGUCUCCAAGGAUGCUAGCAACAGCAAUGAAAUGAGAAACUUUCUUUUAGGAAGAGGCUGUAGUGAAUCUCAGCAGCUGUAAUCGAUCCAGCUUCUAAUUGACCAAAGACUUAAGGUCUGACUUUGCCACCUCUUACCUCUACAAAAACAAUGCAGCCUGGGGAAUCAGUUUGUGUGACCGGUGAAAGAUGUCUGGUGUAAGAUUAGAGUGUCAACUCAGGGGUGUGCAAAUUUCAUGUGGGAUCUGGCAUCAUAGAAGGGAUUUUGCUGGACAAAAUUCACUACUUUUGAGCUAUAAGUUAGUGAAACUGGAAUUUCAUGCAGGGGAUAGAUUUAUGGGAUAAUGUUCCCAGUGCCAUCAAUAUACCACAAAUUGAAGACGGUCCUUUAGGCAAGGAGAAUAGAGGUCCGGAAAGCCAUGCAAAUUUUUGCAGUUUCUUAAGAGUAUGAACUAGAAAAGCACAUUAAGGAUGUGAUGAUGCCAAAGAUAGGCAGUUGGCAUGCUUGCUACUGCUAAUUUGAAGCUUCAACCACUAGAAAAUGAGCUUAUAUCAAUUUCAGAGCAGAGUUUGACUGGUAUGCCAUACAGAAUGUUGUCUCCGAGAUGAGAAUACAAAGGAUUGUUAUUUCUAAUAUAAAAAGAGUGCAAUGGAUGGGCAAAUGACCCAAUUUUACCAUAGAAGGAACGUUUGUUAGCUAACCAGGAAUUUUUUUUUUUUUUUUUUUUUUUGGGUGGUGGUUGGGGUGGGGAUGGGGGUGGGGGUUGAAGAAUUCAUAAACAAGGAAGGAAAUGCUAUUUCUUUAGAAGAAAGAAGGGAUUGUAAAUAAGAAAAGGCAAGUGUGCUUCUUUGAGAUCCAAGACAAUUGCAGAAGAGGAGACAUGUGAUGAAGCAGCGAUAAACUCUAAAGUCUGAAGAAGGGAGAGCUAUGAAGAAUCAGAGAUGAGAUGAUCACUAUUACAGAAAUUGCCUAUGCAAAUAUUAUGGUUUUUAGUGGAAGAGCCACUUUGCUUGAGGUUGUUAGUUUAGACGAGGGGAAGGAUAUGCUAUAAAUUGAACGAGGACAAGAAAGAGAGAGAAAAUGAUUUUCAUACAACCUCUGCAGUGGCACGAUUUUGGAUAGUGAAGGAAUAAAAUGCUGAGAGGUGAUGACUUAGAAGCGUUUAAAGCACAUGCAAUAUGUAAUGUGGCAUAACUCACUAAAAUGGAUAGAUAAAGGAAGAAAAGAACUUCAAAAGGUAAAUAGCACAAGUUGGAGAAAUCGUUGGCAGAGGGAGGAUGUUGAGAUUCACUACUGCCUUUUCCUUCUAGAUGUCUCGAUGUCGCCAUCAUCAUUAACAUCAUUCAUGACAUCAUGUUAGCGUGGACACUUGCAAGUUUUUAGCCAGACACUUUUCUGAUUUUGCACCAUGUUGUGUAUAGUGGAUUUGUUUAGUCUACUAUUUGGACUCACCAAAACUCAAAACAAACAUCUGGCAAAUAUUCUGUUAUGUAUAUUUAUUAUUUCUCCUUUCCAGUGGUCUUGUUUUAAAAACAUUCAGGUUUUGUUUAAAUCUUUACUUUAGUUUUGAUGAAAAAGAACUGUGUUCAUAUAUGUUUUGGACUUAAUUUUUUUAUGUUGGUAGGGUGGAAAAUAGGAUAAUCUACCCUAAGAAAUCCAACAUCUAAAAUCCCUAAAUUUAACUUGUUGAUAAUAUUUUCCAGUAUUAGAUUAUAAAUGAUAUUGGAUGUAAUUAAUCCAAUAAAUAGUUAUGAUGAAUUUUACCAACAAAACUACUGUCCUUAUCAAAUAUUAUGCAUGUGAGGGUGUAUAUUGAUUAUGAAACAAUUGUUAUGCUGCAGUUAGAUCACCGAAAUGAUCCCGUUUCUUCUUCAGGUUGAUCUCUUUCUGCACUUAAUGACUAUGAUCUAAAGUACUCAGCACUUCUAUCUGACCUAUGUGUAAGCUUGUAUCUAUAGCAUCCCAAACAAGACCAACAAGUACUUAUUUGGUUUCGACUUUCUUGCUUCAUCAUAUAGGUUGACAUGACAGAUUGAAUAAAUAAUUCUCUUGGAAUUAAUUUAGCCAUGACUUGUUUGUUAAUAAUUAACAUGGGAGUCGUAUACUUUACCAUUUAUGGUUCUCAAAUUCUUUUCCAUUCUGUUUGAGCACCCAUUUUCCCUUCUGCUAGAGGGAAAUCUUAUAUAUUGACAUAGAAUUAUGGAUUGUUCUUUCAUAGUUGAUCACAUCGUUAUCAUAGUUAAAUAAGUAUUAAUGUCUAAGUUUUGAUGUCGAAAAUUUUGCAGCCUGGAACUCUUAUUGUGUCAUUCUCUGGAGUGGGUGGUAACCUUCAAUUGUCUAACGUGGUGAGCAGUAAAAGGGGAGAACAAAUGAUUGUUGGACUCUGAAUAUUAGACCCUAGCUCCUGAUUUGAGACAUUAUGGGACUAAAAGUUACUGAGCUCAUUCAUCUACUGAGAUGGAAUUCUUUGUAUCUAGCAUCCAGUGCUGCAGGGACUACGAGGCUGGUACUUGCCUGUUGAACUGACUUUCUAUACAGAUUCCAUUUCUGGGUAAUCAUUGAUUCUUAUUUGUUUACUUCCUUCUUCUUUCUCUUGGUAGGCAAAUGCAUCCUCUUUAGGAACUGUGCAGUCAAUUCUCAGUUACCAAUGUAGAUUGGUCCAUAAUCUCUAUCAUUUUGGCCAUGCAAGUGAGACAUCAUUGUAUAGUCUUUCCUUUCACUUGAUCUCAGUGAAUGAGCAAUAAUCUAGCCGAACUUUCUUAGAAUUAUUUAAAGCUAACCAAUGCACGUGCACACACCUUUUAUUUAUUUUUUUCAAUUUUGACUCUCAAUAACUGGAGUUAAGAACGAAAUUUCCUUAAAUACAUGGCAUGAGUGAAGGGGACAGAAAACAAACAAUUGAAGUAGUUGCAGCAAAAAUCCAAAUGUAAGACAUCAACUAAGUAAUAAGUUAAAUUAAUGGGUUUCAAGAUGUCGAUAAUUGAGUAGUUCUCACUUUGUGUCUUUGACCUGUUGAUUAGUGGUAUUCUUUAAAAACAUUUUUUUCAUUCUAUCUGUCAGUAGUAUCCUUAGUUAUAUUCCGGUUAAGCAAAAGAUCAUUUGUUACACAGAACUGUUAGUGAUUUUUGUUCUUGUUGAAUAACAUGAGGCUACGUCAUAAGUUUGAGGUACAUAGAUGAGUAAUAUUGUUCAUACUAUUAGGCAUUCUUUCUGUGUGGCGGGAGGGAAAGAAGCACUCACAUUCACUGAUCAUUUAUCAGCUCCGACAGCAACUGUAGUUUUUCGUUUAAUUUGAUUGCAUCUUCUUUUAUGCAUAUUUAUUUGUUAAUGUUAGUUGUCAAUUGCUUUUGUCGUUUUAGUAAUCCUUUUUUCAGUAAUAUUUGGCCUAUCUCCUACAUUCAAAAUCCAGUAGUACACUUUGAGAGAAUUGCCCCUAAUGUUCUAAAUUUUCAGGAUCUGUUCUUCAAAUUAUUGCUUACCUAU